CAUGCAUGGUGGAAGUUGAUCAAGACUAUCAAUUCUUCGAGAGGUCCAGUGACUAUAUACUCGCAAGAAGGAUAUGGUAUGGAAUAGCUUUCUACACCUCUGUGCUGGCAGAUUUGUAAAAAUGGAAGUUGUUUCAGUGUGGAGAGAGACAGACAUUUUGUAUGGUCAGGUAAAAUUUGUUUUUGAGGUCACAAGUAAGUCUCAAUAAAGGCAUUUCCAUUUAUAGUUGUAUAGCUAGCUAGUUAAUGGAAAGUUGGUGGUUCUACUCUUAAUAGGUGCCUCUCUUUGUCCAAAACAAUGCCAUUAAGGCAUAUUUUCCUUUAUCUGUAAAGCUGGACAGUCACUAUAAUAAAAUAAGUAUUGUAUCUGUUUAAUUUCAAAAGAAUUUAGCUUAAAGUGUUAAAUUUUGCAAUGUUGUUCUGUUAACACCAGUGACAUUUCAGAAAACCCAAACAUGUUGGCUGGAUUGCUAGGUUCAUGUCGGAAGUUGUGAUGGAGGAUUUAUGUUGGAAUGUGGAUGGUUGUGUGACAUUGGUGAAAUGAUUGUUGUGACAUUGGUGAAAUGUGAUUGUGCUGGAAAGUGAAAUGAUGGAGCAUUGGUAAAUUAUCUAUUUUGAAUUUGUGUAAGUCACAAGACAGCUUGAGUGCAACAUGUAUUGAGGUUCAAUUUUUCAAUAGUUAAGUGAUAAAUCAGUUACACAUUCCUUAGUUGAUUAAAUUGUCUUUUGUAGCUUUAAAGUCUAUAACCAUGUAGACUGGAAUGUCCGUUGUUUUACUCUGGUACCAGCCCUUGCCUGAAACAAUGUACGUUUGGGACAUAUUUUCUACCAAUAAAGGUGCCCAGUCGCCAUAUGACUUGAGAACCAACAAAACAAUUGUUAUCAUUUUAAUUAAGAAUUUGUUUAAAAUAUGGUCAAUGUUAACUUUUUGAGAUUGGAAUGUUGUUUUGUUAACCCAGUGACUUUUCAGUAAACCUUUAGACCAUGGAGGCUGAAUGGCUUAAGUGGCAUAAAAUGUGAUGAUGGAUCGAUGUCAGAUAAUGGAUGGUUAAAGCACACCUGUGACAUGGUAAUGAAGAACUUGACAUGCAUGGUGGAAGUUGAUCAAGACUAUCAAUUCUUCGAGAGGUCCAGUGACUAUAUACUCGCAAGAAGGAUAUGGUAUGGAAUAGCUUUCUACACCUCUGUGCUGGCAGAUUUGUAAGAAUGGAAGUUGUUUCAGUGUGGAGAGAGACAGACAUUUUGUAUGGUCAGGUAAAAUUUGUUUUUGAGGUCACAAGUAAGUCUCAAUAAAGGCAUUUCCAUUUAUAGUUGUAUAGCUAGCUAGUUAAUGGAAAGUUGGUGGUUCUACUCUUAAUAGGUGCCUCUCUUUGUCCAAAACAAUGCCAUUAAGGCAUAUUUUCCUUUAUCUGUAAAGCUGGACAGUCACCAUAACAAGAUAAUUAUUGUAUCUGUUUAAUUUCAAAAGAAUUUAGCUUAUAGUGUUAAAUUUUGCAAUGUUGUUCUGUUAACCCCAGUGACAUUUCAGAAAACCCAAACAUGUUGGCUGGAUUGCUAGGUUCAUGUCGGAAGUUGUGAUGGAGGAUUUAUGUUGGAAUGUGGAUGGUUGUGUGACAUUGGUGAAAUGAUUGUUGUGACAUUGGUGAAGUGUGAUUGUGCUGGAAAGUGACAUGAUGGAGCAUUGGCCAUGGACACUGAAUUGCUUGAGUGGCAUCAUGUGUGAUUAUGGAUGGAUGUCAGAAUGUGGAUGGUUAACGCACACCUGUGACAGAGUAAUGAAGUACUUGACAAGCACAAGGAUGUGGAUGGCAAAGUGUAUGUGUUGGAAAGAGGCAUGAUGGAGCAAUUUGACCCUGGAGUUGCACCAAAUGUGAUGAUGGACCAUGGAGUUGCACCAAAUAUGAUGAUGGAUCAUGGAGUUGCACCAAAUGUGAUGAUGGACCAUAGAGUUGCACCAAAUGUGAUGAUGGACCAUGGAGUUGCACCAAAUAUGAUGAUGGAUGUGGUAUUUCACUGACCAUUAAGUUGCAUCAAAUGUGAUGAUGGAUCGAUGUAAGAAAGUGGACUGGGACAGAGUAAUGAAGUACUUGACAUGCAUGGUGGAAGUUGAUCGAGACUAUCAAUUCUUCGAGAGGUCCAGCGACUAUAUACUCGCAAGAAGGAUAUGGUAUGGAAUAGCUUUCUACACCUCUGUGCUGGCAGAUUUGUAAGAAUGGAAGUUGUUUCAAUGUGGAGAGAGACAGACAUUUUGUAUGGUCAGGUAAAAUUUGUUUUUGAGGUCACAAGUAAGUCUCAAUAAAGGCAUUUCCAUUUAUAGUUGUAUAACUAGCUAGUUUAUGGAAAGUUGGUGGUUCUACUCUUAAUAGGUGCCUGUCUUUGUCCAAAACAAUGCUAUUAAGGCAUAUUUUCCUCUAUCUGUAAAGCUAGACAGUCACUAUAAUAAAAUAAGUAUUGUAUCUGUUUAAUUUCAAAAGAAUUUAGCUUAAAGUGUUAAAUUUUGCAAUGUUGUUCUGUUAACACCAGUGACAUUUCAGAAAACCCAAACAUGUUGGCUGGAUUGCUAGGUUCAUGUCGGAAGUUGUGAUGGAGGAUUUAUGUUGGAAUGUGGAUGGUUGUGUGACAUUGGUGAAAUGAUUGUUGUGACAUUGGUGAAGUGUGAUUGUGCUGGAAAGUGAAAUGAUGGAGCAUUGGUAAAUUAUCUAUUUUGAAUUUGUGUAAGUCACAAGACAGCUUGAGUGCAACAUGUAUUGAGGUUCAAUUUUUCAAUAGUUAAGUGAUAAAUCAGUUACACAUUCCUUAGUUGAUUAAAUUGUCUUUUGUAGCUUUAAAGUCUAUAACCAUGUAGACUGGAAUGUCCGUUGUUUUACUCUGGUACCAGCCCUUG